rnacentral:rRNA from 1 species
GACGAACGCUGGCGGCGUGCUUAACACAUGCAAGUCGAACGGUAAGGCCCUUCGGGGUACACGAGUGGCGAACGGGUGAGUAACACGUGGGUGAUCUGCCCUGCACUUCGGGAUAAGCCUGGGAAACUGGGUCUAAUACCGGAUAGGACCACUGCCUGCAUGGGUGGUGGUGGAAAGCUUUUGCGGUGUGGGAUGGGCCUGCGGCCUAUCAGCUUGAUGGUGGGGUGAUGGCCUAGCAAGGCGACAACGGGUAGCCGGCCUGGGAGGGUGACCGGCCACGCGGGGAGUGAGAUACGGCCCAGACGCAUACGGGGGGAAGCAGUGGGGAAUGUGGCAAGAGGGGCGCAAGCCUGAUGCAGCGACACCGCGUAAGGGAUGACCGCCCUCGGGUGGUAACCUCUAUCAGCACCGACGAAGCGUAAGGGACGGUAGGUGCAGAAGAAGGACCGGCCGACUACGUGCCAGCCGCCGCCGUAA